UGAGGGAAUAUUGGGUCAAUGGGCGAGAGCCUGAACCAGCCGAGUCGCGUGGAGGAUGAAGGUUCUAUGGAUUGUAAACUUCUUUUGUCCGAGGGUAAAAGGACUACGUGUAGCUUCUUGCAAGUAUCGGACGAAUAAGCAUCGGCUAACUCCGUGCCAGCAGCCGCGGUAAUACGGAGGAUGCGAGCGUUAUCCGGAUUUAUUGGGUUUAAAGGGUGCGCAGGCGGCGUGCCAAGUCAGCGGUCAAAGUUCCGGGCUCAACCCGGUGAUGCCGUUGAAACUGGUGUGCUUGAGUGCGUGCGAGGGAGGCGGAAUGCGUUGUGUAGCGGUGAAAUGCAUAGAUAUGACGCAGAACUCCGAUUGCGAAGGCAGCUUUCCAGCACGCCACUGACGCUGAGGCACGAAAGCGUGGGGAUCGAACAGGAUUAGAUACCCUGGGUAGU
rnacentral:rRNA from 1 species